GCCUAUACCAUACCCUUGACGUGACGUCACCAUACAUGCGGUUAACAUUUCAAUUCGAACCGCGGGAAGGUGAAAUCCAGUUGGCAAAUUUGUGUUUUUAGGACAACUCAAAAGAUAAAGGGGAUACUCCUGGACUGGGAAGUGAAAUCAACGAUUAUUUCGAGUGAAACGUGAAUGGAGAAUAGAUGUCUCCAUGCUGCUCAACCAAUCAAGCCUAGUUCCGUGUGGAUAGCCUUACAGGUGUGAACGAUGCCCAAUGUCACGCGUACAUGAUUCCGCCAUCCAUCUGUGCCUGCAUCCUCCAGGGAGAAACGUGAACACAUCCUCAUGACACAUUUAGUCUCGCCUUCAGACUCCCACUUGACCUCAUCCUACCUAUGCUCUCCGAUCAGGUUCACGAACGAGCUUCCACAGACGAUGUCGGAUGUGAAAUGACAGAACUGUCAUCGGAGAUUUACCGUCUUUUGGAAGGAGUGGUAGAUGUUUUCCAACAAAAUCCUCAAGAGGAGGAGAUGCUCAAUUUGCUGGUGGCCCUACGUGUAGGUCAUGUGACUCGUCGAUCACAAUUGCUCGCUUGAGGUCCUAAUCUGAACCAAUCCCCUCGCUCGCAAUGCAUGAUUGCUUUUCAUCUAUGUUGGAUAUCUUGUUGCUUUAAUUCAACCGCAUACUUUCAGUUACUUCCCUUCAACCCUCUUUCAUUUUUUGGUCAUCCCAGCCACAGAUUUGAUUAAAAGGCCCCAAAUUAGAUUUGAUUUUUCCAUUGCCGAUGGGUAUGCAAUCCAGGAAAUCAGAUGAUUGCUCGCUUGUAAAUUGAAGCAGAAAUGUAUUAAGAACACUUUGUUUUCUAUGAACAUCGUUUUGAUUAUCGAUAAGUGCGUGUUCAGAAGUAAACAUCUGCAUGCUUGUGUUUACGGACAUUUGUUUUUAACCCCUCAAGAAUAGUCGUCAAGCUUAAAGCAUCAACACACCCUCAAUUGGUUGAAACCUGGAAAGUUGCGAGGGUUCAACUGAAUUUCAUCUGGAUUUUUAUCUCCUGUUUGCAUCGUCAAUCCUAAAUGGCAACCGAGCGAGGAUUGUAGGAAAUAGAUUGUGUGAUCAAGAAGUGGAAUUUCAAUUCUCUCAUCCUUCCAAAGCCAGCUGUAAAACAAGACAGCAGAGCGACAUUCAUGCGAUGAUACCUGCAAAUGUUCAGCUGUCAAUUGGAAAGUAUAUUGUCCUUUGAAGUCUGCUGGAUCAGUUGUGCCUGCCGCUACCGCAACAGCUUUCAAAUUAUUGAAAUCGACUUUUAUCUAAAGGGAAUAUAUUUAUUGAGAAGAGAGAGAGGAAUACCAGGAGACAAAAAUUUGUGAACAUUUGAUUUUGAUUACAAGUGCCUUCAACAGCGGAAGUCGAGUGGGUGAUAUUGUCUUCAAAAUUGUACGCUUUCGGAGGGGAAUCUGGGGACCACGAGAAGGAGAAUAUAUAACAAGCAGAUUUCAUUAAAGGUACGUGAAGUGUCAUUUUUUUCAAUGAUUACAAAUGCUUUUACAUGUACACCCACUUGAUCUUGGAAAUGAUGCGACUUUGUCCACACCUCAAAAUACCAAAUUCAGUUUGUCAUUCGGCCUUGCUCAAACCAGAUAAAUUCCCAUAGUUUAUGAGCCACCUAUAGGACUCUCAUAUUCCUAUACCAAGAAGGCCCUAUAUGCAUAUUCUUCUUGCUUUAAUUACAAAUCUAAAGUUCUCAUAAUUUUCUGUACUCUCUUAUAUUAGCUUGAAACACUGUACUUCUCUGCCCUCUUUUACAAUAGUAUGCUUUAUGGAAUUCAGGAAUAAACUCGAGUAGAGAGUUUAGAAAUCUCUUUCUUCCCUUAUAAUCUUUAAGAUCUAGAUUUUGCAGUACAUGUAUUUCUCAUUAGACCGACCCAGGAAAGUGAAUAUGAAUGAGGUCUUGUUAGGCAUUAAAUACAAUAGACUUUCAAAGACUCUUCUGUCAUCUCUACAAUUGCGUGCUUUAUAGAGCUCUCAUUAAUGCACACCCAAGAACAGAGUUAUCUAACUUCUUAUGGUAAUCUUCAAGAUCAAAAUUUGCAUUAUUUUCCCCCUCGGACUGACCUUGGAAAGUGAACAUGGACAAGGUCUUGGUAUCCAGUAAUACAAUACAUGUUCACUUUGAAACGCUCUCCUGCCCUCUUUACACUAGUGUACUUUUCAGAGCUCAUGAGUACAAACCCAAAAGAUAAUUUCUUUCCUCCCUUAAUAAUCUCCAAGAUCAAAGUUGGCAAUAUUUCCCCAUUUGACCAACCGAAAGUGAAUGUGAACAAGGUAUACUUUGAAACAUUCAUCGGUCCUCUUUUUUAUACAAUAGCAUGCUUUACAGAGCUCAUGAACACACCCAACAAGACAGAGUUAUAAAAUUUCUUUCUAUCCUCAUACAUGUAUUAAACUUCAAGAUUAAAAUUCCCCAGUAAGAGGAGGGUUUUUACAGGAAAGACUCCAGGCUUCUCUGUAUCUGUUCAAUGAAGUAUUCAUGAAUGUGACAAAAUAAAAGGGUUAAGCAUGGAUAGAAAGAGACGCUUGAAUCCAAAGGCCAAUCUAGGGAUUUCCCCUUUAUGAACAAAGAAAGGGGUUCUUUUUUCACAGUUUGUGAAUAAUAUAUCAUCCUUAAAUAAUAGCUGUUCAGGUAUUCAUGAUGGUGAUAUUAGAGGAAGGGUUUUUUUUCUCUAACAAUCGAAAAAACUUUGAAUAUUACAAAAUCUACAUGUAAAACGUACAGUAGAAAAGGAAAGAAAGCGAUUCAUUUGCAAAGGAAUAUCGAAAGUUUAAUUUGAAAUAUUGUAACGAAAUGGACUGAUGUUUUGCUAAAAAGACAGAAACUUUCAUUUCAUACAAUGUAUUGGUUUUGAUCUAAAUGUACAUACAUGUAGGUUUUUUUUUUUAAGGGCAAGUUUACCCCCAACAAAAUGUUGAUUUGAAUAAGAAGAGAAUAAUCAAACAAGCUUAACGCUGAUACAUGGAAUUUCAUCAAAAUUUGAGUAUUUUUCUCUUUUUAUUCAAUUGCAAAUCAACCUCUUUGUUUGGGUGGACGAGCCCUUGUAUAGACUGUUUCUACAUAACAUCCUAGCUCCUUUUUUCUAUUAUUGUUCUGCCAUUAUAAAAAAGGAGAAAAAGAUAUGUAAUUUUUAUUAAAGUUGCUAUUAGUUUCACAAAACAGUUAGAUGCACAGGAACAGUGCUAUAGAUGCAAAUGAGGUAAAGGGAUGACAGGUGAAAAAUCAUAUGAGGGCCCGGGGCGAAUUUGCCCUCAAAAAGCUUGAAAGAGCCCCAGGAAAUCCUCUCCUUCACUGAGACAAUGUUGAAACUUAUCCAAUGCAGCAGAAAUAGCCAGUAGUUUGUGAAAGUAGCCCCCCCCCCCAAAAAAAAAAGCCUGACCAAAGCCAUCUCAAAAUCGCUAUUUCCUCUAUUUAUUACCUUUUUCCCUCCUGUAAUAUUAACAAUUAUUUAAAACAUUCGUUCCACCUUGAACAUGUGGAAUUGCCAUUAUUGUAAUCUAUCACGAUUCAAUCUAGAGCUUCAUAUUCAAAUCUAAACAGAGUAAGAGUAAAUUCAAAUUUCAUAUACAUGUAAUUAACUAGUACAAACUAUUAAAACAGUGAGUGUGUGACAUCAUAAACUCUCUCAUUUGCAUAUCUGUGAUAAGGCCCAGGGCUCCACACUAUUAACCCUUUAUUCCUACUGGUCCAACCUAUUCAUGUCGGACCGUAGAUACCCAGUUUUCAACUUUACUGGUCAGAAACUAAAAUUUACUGGUCCCCAAAAUAAAGAAAAAUAUUUUAAAAAGUCUUGAGUUUAUUUUGCUGUCUUUUAUUGUCCCCUAAAUUUGCUAAAAAAACGUAUACAAAGAAACUACACAAGAAAAACAUAAAUCAUGAGAGCCAUUUCUCAAUUUUAGAGCUCGCUAUUUUUUCAAGAUACCAGAGCCUUUAUCAGAGCUGCCAACCAUUACGUUUUUGCCGUAAUCAUUACGUUUUUUCAUUCAAAUUACGGCAUUAUGGUUUUUCUUUUCAAAUUACGUUUUUUGACAAUUUUGAUAAUGUGUGUACAUAAUUGUAUGUAUGUGGAGUGCGUGUUGAGCCCACUGAACUAGAAAUACGUAUUUCUAGUUCAGUGGUUGAGCCCGAGAUGAGCCUGGUAUUUGCGCGUGCGUAGUCGCCCGCCUGCCGGUUUUCCAACGCACUUUAAUAAUUUGAUAGCGUGCACGUACAUAUACGUUAGUUGAAUAUGCGAGCGGCAUGCAUGGUACGAAUCGCGAUGUAUAGCGACUGGUAAAUACGUCUGUAAGGAUGAUGACGUCAUCCAAGAUGGGAACUUACGAUGACAAACGAAAGGAUCGAGGAUGAUUAUGUUUUGAUCAUCAUUUGAAAGGAAAUAACAGUAACUGCGGUCUAAGGUACGAUAUUUCUGAAUUUUAUAUAUUUUAUCUUAAAUUUGCAUGUAAUUUCUUUCCUAUAAAGUGAUGUUUUAUGUACAAAAAAACGAUCCGAAAAUCAGAUUUCAGAAUUUAGAUCUAACGUUACUGCUAAUACGUUAUCUUUACGCACGGGCCAACACUCUUCAGGUGAUCGAGCCAACGUUUGUUCUUGCAGCGCAGAGCGAGGAGUACGAUGAAUUGGGUAGGGUAAUUCCCAAAUGUAGUAAGAGAAGAGUCCAUUUGUAAUGGAGGGGGAUUUGGAGGUUUGAGGGAAAUUAUUAUUCCAUUUGCAAAAUUUUACAAAAAUACUCAUCAUAUAUAUUAAAGAUUGAAUCAUCAAAAGAUAUUUUUCAUAUACUUUAAAAUUAAUUGUUGUGAUAAAGAAAUGAAAUUUUGAGGCUAUUUUCUUGAAUUGAUUAAUAUCAAUUCCCUUCGGAUAACGGUACUGUCUGGUUAAUUUUCAUCAACUCGUAAUCGUAUCAAACAAAUACGAUGUAUUCGGCUUUGAAAAGACCUGGAAAGCUCUUCAUUGUCCCUUGAAGUAAUAAUUCUGGGUGAUAUUCAACAUUUAUUGAUAGUUUCACAUGAUUUAUACUAGAGAGAUGUCCUACUGCCUUUGGAAUUCAUUAAAAAAGUCGGCACUUUAGCAUUCAGUUUAGCAGGAAUGGGAAGAUUUCUUCCCCGGUUCUGGCGGCCUAGAUGUCUGCUCUAUAGUGCCGUCACUGCUGGUGAUGAUUGAGUGUGCGUGCAGUGUGAUUGAGGCUGAGCUGUGCACAUCGUGAAGUGAUUUACGAUGGGACUUUUGUGGAAUGAUUUCAACUUCUUAUCUAUAGUUCUAUUUGAAUUUUAGAUUAGAUUGAUUUAUGAAUAAUUUUUCUAUAUUUGUGGAAUGUUACAUGUACACUUCCAUUUUAUGACACUUUAAAUUUAAAGGGUACUGUUUGGCAAAAACAAUGUUACUUGGGAAGAGAAGUCUGAAUUGAUGUCAACUUUUUUUUUUAUAUUUCUCUUAGUCUACAAUUUGGUAGUUUUGUCAGGAAACUCAACAUAAAACAAUUAAUUAUUUUAGAAGUGGAAAGGAAGCCCCAGAAAAAUGGGGCCCUAAAAAUGUUCACCAGAACUGAUUUUGGUGCCCCUGAAAGAAUUUUUUCUCGACAGAUCUUCACUUUGAUAAGUGCCGGAGUAGGUUGCACUACAAAAUGAAAGGCCUACUUGUCAUUUUUAGAAAAAUUUGCCUAGGUGCCCAUUUGACUAGAAUAAAAGUGGCCUUCAUGUCCUUUAGAAUGGCCUUGAUACCCCUUGAAAUUUUGGGGCAUCCAAGGCCACUUUGCCGGUUGCCCCAAGCUGAAAGUGCCCAUUUGAAAAUGGCCUUGCCCCUCUCAAUUCUUAAUUCAAGCCCUGCUACUGACUUAAUUAAAAUAAGGGUCCAAUUUGUAACGCUCCGUUACUUAGCCCAGACUAGGCCUAGAGAUUAACUUUUUUUAAAUUGUUCACUGCAUACAUACUUUUUGCAUUGGAUGUUUGUCGCAUGUGGUUUUAAGGUUCGUUUUAACACAUUCCUUUUUUUUGUUGGAAAUUCCUUUUUUUGGCCAUAAUGGUUCCUUUUUUUGCUUGCACAAGGUUGGCAGCUCUGCUUUAUAAUUAACGAGAGGAGAACAUAUCAUGUGUAUCAGUUUACUGGUCAUGUAGGACCAGUAAAUCUGGCUAUUUCUGAAAACUUACUGGUCCGAAAGCAAUUUUUACCAGUCUUGGACCGUCGGACCGGUGCCAGUGUCGCGUGCUGGUAAAGCAUACAUGUACAUGUAGGUGAUGAAAUUUAAUAGCAAACUUCAAAAUGCUCUAACUUUCUUUAAAACAUGGACAUCCAAUACCAAAGAAAUUUUAGAUGAAGUAGUUGUUGACUUGGACUUUGCAUUUAAAUAUGAACAUGAUGUACAUGCUAUCCCCAAAAAAAUUUGUCACUUUCUCUACAAUUCUAUCAUGAAUACAACGUUUUUGCUCUUCUGAUAUUGUUGAUAUUAAAGUAAUUAUUUGUUGCAUAUUAUAAUGUAAUGGGAACACAUUUGUUCUUAAAAAUGGUAAAGGGGGGGGGGGUCAAUAAAAUACAUAAAGAGCAUCAGUGAUCACGAUCGUGAGUGUAAUAGAACAAAGCUGGCUUGACGGGUUGGACCAAGAUGAUUACAGAUAUAUUUCCAAAGUGAGCCCUCUUGAGUUGAAAUGGAGCACAGUCUUCCUGUUUUUCAGAGAACAGAUUUCUGACUGAUUCAUAUUCAAAGUCGUAUUGAACCUUUACCCAAAAGCUGUACUGUAUGUGGGCUUUGAAGCCUGUCUUUGCCUUUGUAAAGGUUUACCGGUAAUGUUAAUUAAAUGUACAGUGUAUAUUCAUUGGUGUAUCAUGAUCAUCUAUCAUGGCAAUCUUACAAAAGUUUCUUGACCUGAGAAUCUUAUGUCAUGCAUCCAUUCAUUAAGUUUUUCAUGGAAAUUUUAAUUUUGCAUUUGAGGAUGUUUAGUGGCCUCACUUGGUAUUAUUUUGGUAAAUUUCUUUUUUUUUCAAAUGGCCCUUCGAAGCUACAUUUUUGUCAGGAUCCAAACCAAACUUAAAUUUCAUGUAAAAUUUAAAAAAGAACAUCCAUCAAAAUGUAAUUAUUCUUUUAUUUUAUAUCAUUUUCAUCCCUUUUUUUGUGUGACAGAAUCACAACCAAAGAAACUUAUUGUACAUGUAAUUAUUGUAAACUGCAAAAUGCAUCCAUGAAAAUUGAAAACAUGUUUUUUUUUUUUUUUUUCAUAUUGUCCACAUAAUAAAUUUUUAGGACAUACUGGAUGUUUAAAUCAAUAAACUGCCACCUCCCUUGUCAAAUGUAGCAAGGCACUAAAAAGAACACUGCCAAACACUUAUGGUGGAAUUUUCCAAACCUGAGGAAUUGAAGAGAGGUCUGUAUAAAUUUAUAAACCACUUGAACUCUAUCAUGGAAAGAGUCUAUUUUCAAAGUGAGCCCUCUGUAGUUUGAGUUGUGCACAAUCUCUGAAUCUCCCUGAUAUCUGUCUGAUGCCUCUGAUCUGUAUCCUGUUCAAAAAGAAUUGUAUCCUGGUCGGUAUGAAAACGAGGGGUAUGAUGGCAUUAGCCUCUCACUAUUUUUUAUUAAAAUUACAUGUAUAUUAUAUGAAAUAUGAAAUGUGAAGCAAAGUUAAUGAUGUACAGGCUUUCAUAACAAAAACUCAUUAUAAUGCAUUGUAUAAAUAUUCUCAUUUGUAUAUUCUGAACAUUGAUUAAAUCGAUUUUAAUAUUGGAACUAAAUAGUAGAUAAGAAAGUUAUAAGCAUUUGAAUGCCCAAAUGUCUAAUGCCAAUGCUUGGCUGGGAUUCAAACCCACGACCCUCUGUUUCAAAGUCCUGAGACUAAUCCACUCGGCCACAAAAUCAUUUUCCAGAGGAUACAGUGCACAACGAUCGUUAACCCUUGCUUUACCUCGAGCUGCCGCUUCGUCAGCAGCUCUCAGGGCAUUCAAGGAAUUAAGCAUUCCUACUGGGUACCCACGCACCUCACCUGGGUCGAGUGAAGCACAAUUAUUUUCUUGCUGAAGUAAAACUCGCUCUGGCUGGUAUUCAACCCUAUGACCAUCUGUUUGAAGGUAUAGCGAUGUUUAGGAUGUCAGCUAUACACUGUAGGGAUUGAAAUGAAUGAUUGUUUUAUCUUCAUCAUGGGAUGUCAGUCAUAAAUUGAUGAAGUUGCUUGAGUUUAGACUGGUUUGCCUUUCAGCGUGGUGCAGUCGAGGGAAGUGUAAUGGGAACUGAAUCAAUACAGACUCUUUAAGAUAUUUUCGGCUUUCUUGGCAGAUUCGUUAUUAAAUUAGGGUGCGUAGCAAAAGUGCAUGCUUGAUCAAUACGCAGAGUUUAGUCACCCAUACCAUGGACCUACAUUACUACAGUGAAGGAGAGAGAUAAAUUGAGAGAGAUAGAAGAUGGGGGCCUCUAUAAAUAGCAAGAUUAAUCCUUUCGGGAUAGUGAGUUGUCUUUAGCCUUAUUUGAUCAUUGUUUUCUCUUCAAAUUGGCAACAUAUAUUUUUCUAUUAUGACAUCUUAUUUUUCAUUUUUGAAUUUCAAGGAUUGAAACAAAAUGGUUGACACAAAAUGCUUUCAGAAUUCAGUUAAAAUUGUCCCCCUUUGUGUUGAAAAACCAUGAUUUGUAUAUGAAUUCUUCCUAUCUUUAAUAGAUUUAGCACCCUCUUUGAGUCGGUAAUAUUUGGAACAUUUUUUUUAUCAACAAAUAUCUUAACAAGUAUGGAGUUGGUAUCCUGAUAUUUUUUGCCCUAUAACUCAUAAUUUGUAUUUGGUAAUUUAAUUGUUUUUACCAAAAAAACAAACAAUUUUUUACUUACAAAAAAGUUACAGCAAUUCAGACUUUGAAUUUUAGCCCCCCCCCCAAAAAAAAACAUAUUAUGUUAUACGAUCACAUAGCACAACAUUUUAUUACAAUCUGUAAUGUAUUUUUAUCCAACAAUGAAAUCAUGAUUCAGACAGUAGUCUACUAUAACCCAAUAUGGGUUUUAAACCAUGUGAAAAUAAUUUGUCGUAGCUUUGUAGGGGCAGGACUGAAGUGAAAUACCCUACAUUUUUUUUUUCUAGAUUGUGAAAAUUUGCUCAACUUGAUGUGAUUAUCUUCUCUUUAUGAUCUCAUGAUCUGAUUUACUUUCACAAAUAUGACAGCUGUGAGACAGCAAUACUGUCAAUUCUGUCUUUCUUUAAUAGAGUCAUAAACUCAAAAUUUUAGUGUAUUUUUGCACAACAAUGAUAAUAAUGUAGAGUAUUUCCAAUGCGCCAAAUCCACACUGAUUAUAUGCUCAAGGUGCUGAGGAAAGGAAAUAAGGAGGGAGAGACAAAGGUUAUAAAAAGGGAAAGUUCACCCUGACAAAAGUUUAUUGUAAAGAUAACAGAAAAAGUAAAUGUUGCUGAAGGUUUGAGAAAAAUCCAUCAAAGUAUAAAAAAGUUAUUAGAAUUUUAAUUAUUUGAUUCAGACGUCAUAUGCGAGCAGUUUUCCUACAUAAACGUAUGGUUAAAAAAAAUCAAUGACGUCAUUUUCUCAGAAAAUUUAUAAUGGUUUUUACUGUAGGCCUACCUUCAGUAUAUCAAUAGACAAAUCAUUUCACACCCGUUCCGAAAAAGGAAAACAAAAAUAAGUCCUCACAAACCAUUAAAAAAUUGAAGUUUAUGCAUUAACAUACGGGGAAGCUGCUCAUUUAUGACAUCAUAAAUCCAAACUUAAUAUUCAAAUAAUUGUUUAAAUCUUUAAUUGAUUUUCCUCACACUUUCACCCAUAUUUUUAAAUUAUUUUUUCUGCCACUUUUACAACAAACUUUUCUUUGGGGUGAACUUCCCCUUUAAAGGAACAACAAUCGUGACAAUGAAAGGAAACGACUGGGAGGCGAAUUUAAACAAAUUGGUUUUUAGAGCAAUUUUAAAGGAGAAUGAAACCCUUGAAACCAGCUGAAUCCAUAUCAAAGAGAAAAAUCAAAGUAACAUAUUGUUGAAAGUUUGAGGAAGAUUGAAUGAAUAAUAAGAAAGUUAUGAGCAUUUGAAUAAUGAGAUCACUAAUGCCAUGUAGAUCCUCCCAUUGGCAAUGCGACCAAGAUCUGUGAUGUCACACACGUACAACUCCCUCAUUACUUUAGUACUUAUUUCACUUAUAUUCUCACUUUUAUAGAGUCUAUCACAAGGUGAGGUGAUCUCUUUAUGAGAGGACAAGUACAGAGGUUUCACAACAUUAUAUCAUUGAUGAAUCGUUUGUCAUAUGAUUAGAAUGAGCAAAAAGAGAUGUUUUGGGGUAUAUUUUCAGUGUCCAAAAGGGGAGAGUUGUUCAUCUGUGACAUCAUAGAUCUUGGUCGCAUUGUCAAUGGGAGGAUCUCCAUAGAAUUAGUGAUCUCGACAUUCAAAUGCUCAUAACUCUUCUAUUGCUAGUCCUAUUUUACUCAAUCUUUUGUUGAUCUUAUUCUUUGAUUUUUCUGCUUUCACAAAAGCUAACUUACUCCAAGAGUUUCAUUCUCUUUUAAGAGAAUUGAUAUAUGAAAUAUUAAAACUGAGGUGUUAGUUGGUUUUAUAUACAUGGAGGGCAAAACCAGUCAUUUUACUUUAUUAGGUGUUAAAGUUUUUGGUGUUUUAGUUCAACAUCUAUGGUAGGGACAGUGAUUUUCUGUUUACUGUUAGAAUCAAAACGGAAAAUCUGUUUGGGUUUUUUUUCUUUUCUUUUCAUGUGAAAAUUCAUUGAAUUACAAGUAUAAUACCAAUAUUGAUAAUAAUGUCAUAUUUUACCCAGAUUAGCCAGUUCCUUCUCCCAUCAAGCUCUUCUUAACAUGAUAUAC